CUCCCUUUUCUCUUCUGGUUGAAGUGUUUCGACACUCGGAAUGAGAGCUGGGAAAGAAUAGACCCGCGAUGGAUAAAUUUACGUGGUAGUCUGUGGUUAAAGGGGAGAGGAGGAGCCCUGAGAGCAGAAUGUGGGAUCUUAGUUCCCCAACCAGGGUUGGAAUCUGUGCCCUCAGCAGGGGAAGCGUGGAGUCUUACCCACUAGGCCGCCAGUGAAGUCCCUAAGGAAUUCAUUUUUAUAUGGGGAAAAGUGAAGUCGCUCAGUCGUGUCCAACUCUUUGUAACCCCGUGGACUGUAGCCCACCAGGCUCCUCCGUCCAUGGGAUUCUCCAGUCUCCUGAUGAGGGAUCGAAACUACAGCCCAGCGCUGGAAGCAUGGAGUCUUAACCACUGGACGGCCAGGGACGUCCCAGCUUCGUUUCUUGGUUGACAUGAAGAUGGCAUGUUAAUGAAUAAAUCAUUUCUUAACUUAUCCAAUAGAGCCUGGAGAUUUUAGUAUUGUUAUUUUCCAGGACAAGAUCAGGGACUUGUAUCAGUCAGAGUUCUACUAGUAAGCAAACGAACACUUCCUUGAUGACACGAGUAGAAAAGGAAUUUAUUGAACAUAUAUCGCGUAACUCACGGGACUUCGGGGAAGACCUGAGAACCAGGUUUGAGCGAGCAUGUGCCGCUUGGGGCAACACCGAAAAGCACAGAGUGGGAGCGGCUGGGAUUUGCUUCACGGGAAAAAGCAGUUAAGAGAAACAGCGCAGCCUCCAUAUUCUAUGUCUUUUCCCCGUGCUUUUGAGGGAGACGAGUUUCACACGACUUUAAUCAGCACAAUAACCUCAUGAUUGUUCCAUUCCUAAUCUCUAGUCCCAUGGACUGCAAGGAGAUCCAACCAGUCCAUCCCAAAGG